rnacentral:lncRNA from 1 species
UUCCUUCUAUUUCUCUCUUAAAACAGAAACAAAAUAAGCAGGACUUGCUUGAACAAUUCCAGAAAGAACCAUGUGAGUGACAAAGUCCGAUUGAAAUAGGCACCUGACGGCCCGGAGAAUCUGCCGGGCAGAUCCAGCUCUGAAGGAGCCUGGAGACGCUCCCGCCCGGCUCCGGCCCGCCCUGCGCCCGGCCCCCGUGGUUCACAGCCGUUCACCCCGGCGCUGCUGCUGGACUUCCUACCGUGCGCGAUGCGCACACACAGCGCCCGCACACUGGGCACAUUUCCCGCGGGAGCCCGACCGGCAGCCACCAGCUGGUGCGUUAAGAGAGGCCUCCCUUCCUGACCAGGCCUGGGACCAGAGCAACGGGCGCAGGAACAACCGCCGCAGGCCGCGUCUCUCGGUGCGCAUCCUGAUCAUCUCACUUCCCUCACCACGUGCCAUGAAGAGCAUUGAAUAUUUUGUUCACCUCAGCUUCCAAAAUGCAGAAAGAAACCAUCUAAGUUAGAAAUGCUUGCUAUGCCUAAGAACUUGAUCGCAUUGCUAACUUGGAGCUGAAAGUAAGUGAUAUUUCAAAAGAUGGUAUCAAUGUUCUUUGCAGAACUGUCUCAGUGACAGGAAACUAACUGGCUUCCUUUAAAACACACACAGACACUUCACACACCCAGACCCUCUUAGUUCAUUCUCCCUUGGUGAUUAUGCCUGUCCUCUCAGCCUGAGUAUCUGAGUUUAACUUUAUGAAGUGAACUGGGUUUACCCAGUGAAAACAGUCAGACGAUCAGGAAAAUCCCCAAGAACAGUGCCUCUCAAGGAACCUGAGUUGGGACAACAAGGUCCAGCGGACGCCGCCCUCAUGGAGACCCUACUUUGUCUUUACUCUUGGAGACCCCACAUUCCUUUGCCACAAACUGCUGUACUUCUUUAGUCUUUCUUCCGUCAUUUCUCCACCACCUUUCAUCUCAAAGCGUAGCUCUUCCUGCUCUAAAAACAGUUCUUAAGAGUACUCCAGUGUUCACAUUACUAACUCUUUCAGCCCCAUUUAAUCUGUUUUCCUCUCCAGUCGAGCACCCCUUCCCUGCUUGCAAAUCAGAUGCAGCUGCCAUUGCUCGACUUCUUUUAUCAGCUUCAUCCUGUAUAUAAAUCUUCCUUUAUUGCUCUUUGAUUUCUGUUAUUCAUGCUCUAAUUUCCUCAUUGUUUUCCUAUACAAAUAAAUUUCUUCUUUGAAACCCUUUAAUCUCA